GAUGAACGCUGGCGGCGUGCCUAAUACAUGCAAGUCGAACGAAGGUAGCAAUACCUUAGUGGCGAACGGGCGAGUAACACGUAGGUAACCUGCCUUUCAGUUGGGGAUAACCGAGGGAAACUUUGGCUAAUACCGAAUUCGUGCUUCGAAGGCAUCUUCGGAGCAUAAAAGGGGCCUUUAAAGCCUCGCUGAUUGAUGGACCUGCGGCGCAUUAGUUAGUUGGUGAGAUAACAGCCCACCAAGACGAGGAUGCGUAGCCGACCUGAGAGGGUGAUCGGCCACACUGGAACUGAGACACGGUCCAGACUCCUACGGGAGGCAGCAGUAGGGAGUUUUCGGCAAUGGGGGAAACCCUGACCGAGCAACGCCGCGUGAGUGAUGAAGGUCUUCGGAUUGUAAAGCUCUGUUAUAAGGGAAGAACGGCAGCUAGAGGAAAUGCUAGCUGUUUGACGGUACUUUAUGAGAAAGCCACGGCUAACUACGUG
rnacentral:rRNA from 1 species